rnacentral:rRNA from 1 species
AACUCGACUAUAUGAAGCUGGAAUCGCUAGUAAUCGCGGAUCAGAAUGCCGCGGUGAAUACGUUCCCGGGUCUUGUACACACCGCCCGUCACACCAUGGGAGUUGGAAACGCCCGAAGCCGGUGACCCAACCUGAGAAGGAGGGAGCCGUCGAAGGCGGGUCUGAUGACUGGGGUGAAGUCGUAACAAGGUAAC